rnacentral:lncRNA from 1 species
GAACCUAAUCAGUAGGCUUUGGCCUCCACUGAAAAGAUCUGGUUAGGUCCAACCAUUAACAUGACUUGAUUUGGUGAAUCAGAUCAAUAAAUGAUCAGGCCCGACUUUGGUUGGCCAACCUGACCACCAUCAGAAAGACUCAAACCAAAUUAUCAUACUAUGAAUGAUAAUUUCAUUAGUCAAUAAGCACCAGGCCUUUGGGCCUCUAAUGAUUAUUA